GGGGAUGUGACCUAGAUUAUACGGCGUGGGGCAGGAUCCCUCCUCAGAUUGUAUACACAUAAGCGUAUAAGCUUGUUUCCUUACGAAGACGAGGGAGAGACUGUUCGGAUUGACGGAGUACCCUAUCAACUAAUAUAAGAUAGGACCUCUAGUCAACACUCAAAUCAGACAUGGGAAAUGUGUUAGGUAUGGAUGGAGUAAGGAUGGUUGCCGUUUUGUUUAUGAUGAUGUGUUUAGUAGUCAAUGGACAGACUACUUCUUCCUCACCUUGUAGCAUAUCUGCUGAUAAGAACAGUGAGGAUUUGGAGCAAGCACUCGAGCUUGGAUACCAUAUGCUGUUCAUGAUAUUUUCCUUCAGCAAUGUUAGUCGAACAAUCCCUAUUUCUGUGGAUACCCCUCAGCCCUUUACUUGGGUCCAUGUGUCAGGAAACCACGGGAAGGGUCUUAUUUGGCUCAGACAGAACUUUGAGGUGUUAUCUUUGACGAGUCUGAGAUACGGCGUUCAUGAUUUAGACAUAAACCUGUCUGACAAUCCAGAAGGAUGUCUAAGUACGAAACCAGCAUCAGAUAUUGCGAAUGAUGUGCGAGAUUUCAUUCUUAACAAUUUUGCUGAUCCCGUUACAAAUA